rnacentral:rRNA from 1 species
CCCUAUGGGGUGCAGCUCAUUGCAACAGCGCUCUCAUGGUUAGGCACGCCAUAUCGCGCGGGUGGCUAUAGCAAAUCAGGAGUUGAUUGCUCGGGCUUUCUGAGUAAUGUUCUUAUGACAUCAAUGCCGGAAAAGGCACCUUUUCCACGAACGAGUGAAGACUAUGCUCAUUGGGGUUAUCCCACAAAGGUCAUCGAACCUGGCUGCAUUCUUCUCUUUGCACGAAACAAUGUGAUUUACCAUGUCGGGAUAGCAUUGAGCGAGUCGACCUUUAUCCAUGCGGCUUCAGAAGGAGCACGCACAGGGGUGAUUAUUUCCAGCCUUUUUGAAGGGAAUUGGCGGGAGGGC